GUAAAAGACGAUUCUUUAAUUGGCACCAGGGACUAAAAUCGAAAAAUCUGGUCUCCAAUGACAUUAUCAUCGAACUAAGGAAAGAAGACCAAUAGUGAUUAAAUUUGGAUAAAGUUCAAUAUGAUUAAGGGAGCUAUAGAAGAAAAUUGAUUCCUUAUGGUCUCACGAUCUGAUAUAAAAUGAUGUUCUUGAGAGCGAUCUCAGCAACCGUAGGCUCACACACCUGGCAGAGCUACUUUGAGAAGUGGAACCACGAGUAGAUCAUGAACCGUGGCUACGAAGUCUACCACCUCUCCUACUUCUAGUGAGGGCAGUAGAAGGAGUAAGUUGUCGUCGAUCACAACUUUGCAAGGGUCUGGUAUUGACCUAGACAUUAUUAACAAAGGAAAUACAGAGGAAACGGAUAGAAACACAAAGAAGGAUUGAGAUGAUGAAUGC
rnacentral:lncRNA from 1 species